UAGCUCAGUGGCAGAGCAGGCGGCUGUUAACCGCCCGGUCGUAGGUUCGAGCCCUACCGUGCCAGCCA
rnacentral:tRNA from 1 species